GUUUUGAUAGCUUAUUUAGAGUAUUAUUCUGAAGAUAUAAUGGAAAGAACUUACCUUUCAAAACA
rnacentral:tRNA from 1 species